CUUAGUUCAUUAAGCCUCAAUUUUCUCUCUUUCUCCGUCACUUUUAUGCAAUGAGUUUCCUCACAUUGUCUUUCCAGAUCAAAUUGUACGAUUUUCUCUCCCUCCAUCUCUACGUAAUUUCUUUCUUUUAUUAUGUUAAACCAUUUUCUUAUGUCCUCCAAUAAUAUUUCUCUAAGAAUUUUUUUAAAAAUUUCUUUGAGUUUUUAUCUUUCUAGUUUUUGUUAUCGAAUUCUAAGUACAAGUUUGUCAGAUUUAUAGUUUCUUAUGGGAAAACUUAUAGAAAUCUUCUGUUCAAUAAAGCAUGAGAGGCAUGUCCAUUGAACUUGUUGUUGUUAAUUGUAAUAAAGCACAAGAAAUGCUAUGAAAAUUAAUUAAGCCAAGUUUUUUAUACAACUUCAUCCUAGUUACUCCCUCCGUCCAAAGAUACUUGUCACUUUUCCCUUUCCGAGAGUUAAUUACCUCUGUGCCAAAAUAUUUGUCAGGUUUUGCUUUCUGAGAGUUAAUUAGACUAAUUCUCACAUUUGAGUGUUGAGUAAAAAAAAUUCAACGUCAUACCUUCGAUUCGGUUCUAUAAGUUUCUCACUUGUUCUUGUCCUUCAUUUGUUACUUUGUGAACAAAAUUACCCAGUACCUGUAUUGGUGGGAGAUAGCAGGUACCUUGUGCAACUGGUAUUUCCGUAUUAUUAUUUUUUCUUUCAAUCUUGUUUUCUGUAAAUGUGAGUUUCUAAAGCUUGAAGGGAUCCUUGACGUAACUGGUAAAGUUGGUGCCAUGCGACCAGGAGAUCAGGGGUUCGAACCGUGGAAACAUUCUCUUGCAGAAAUGGAAGAUAUUUCUUGGAGAUUCAUUGUUUCUCAAUGUCUACUAGGGGUGACAAGCAUGGUUGUCAAACUGCACCUCUAGAUAUACUUUGUAGCCUUCCUGAGAACGUAAUAGAUGAUAUCCUUUUGUAUUUGCCUUUACGAGAUGCUACGCGGACAAGCGUCUUAUCAAAAAAAUGGAGGUAUAAUUGGUGCAAACUUCCAGAACUGACGCUUGAUCUAAAAAAAAUUGAUAUUAAUGAAGGACUCAAUACCACCUAUGUUCAAAUGAACUAACAUUAUCUACCACCCUUUGACCCUUCAUACCGAACCAAAUUACUAAGUUUGACCUCUCCUUUAGUUCUAAAGGGAUGCCUUGUCCUACCAUUGACAACUUGAUAUAUUCUUUCUAGAAAUGGCAUUCAGCAUCUUGUUCUUAAACUUUCUAGCAGGGUGACCCUUACAAGUUACCCACUUCACUUUUCACAUGUUUUCAAUUGAGGCGUCUGACUCUCCAAUACUGUUCAAUAAUUCCUCCACCAGCCUUCAAAGGAUUCGAUCAGUUAAUUAGCCUGGAAUUACGUCGCGUCACAAUUACAUCCAAAUUUCUUGAAAGUUUAAUCUCUCAUUGUGUGUGACUCGAGUAGUUGGUGCUGGACAUCUCAGAUUUAAGUGGCGUCGUUGAAAUUAAUGCUCCCAGGCUGAGGUGCUUAAAUUCGCAGGUGAAAUAAGUUCCAUCUAUUAGAAGUAUAUUCCUCUUGUGACAGAACUUCCACUUGCGGAUAUGGAAUGUUAUGAGGGCCAACGAAUAUGUGAUAUUGCCAAGUUUUUUGAGUCUGCUCCUGCUCUCGAGCAUCUCAAGUUGAAUCACGGUAUUUUGAUGGAGGGGAACUUCCGAUAAGGCUACCGUUUGAUCUUAACUACAUCAAACGUCUUUGCCCAGCUGAUUUUUAUAUUGAUGAAUUGGAUGUGAUCUCAUGUGUUCUUUGCUUGAUAAGAAGCUUCCCAUUUUUACGAUAUUUGGAAAUCCAGCACUAGAAUGCCUUGAAGUGGAAGCUUUCUCAGAUGUGACAUUUAAUAACCUCCGGGAAGAUCAGCUAACAAGUAUUAUAGGCUCAAAGCCUGAGAUGCAGCUUAUCAAGCUUCUAUUAGCCAAGUCUCCUAUGCUGGUGAGAAUGCUAGUCGAGCCAUAUCUAGAAGUUGAUGACGCUGACAAACUCAAAAUCUCCGAUGUGCUAAACUCGUUUCGGCGCGCAUCCCCUGAAGUAGAAGUUGUUUAUACUUGUUAAGGAGUUGAUAAAAGAUAGUAAAUGCAUUGCUGCAAUUCAAGCAUUAUCUUGGACUGGCGCUUGCAGAAUUCUUGCAGACUUCCAAAAGUGCUUUUGUCCUGAUUGACAGAUUUAUAGUCCUAUUCCUACAUGGUUUAAUCAUCAUAACAUUUGGAGAGAUGCUUAUGUCCCCCAGAUAGCAUAUCAUUAUUAUCAUCCUGAAACAAAGGGUUUGGACUUUGCUACAAUGACCCUAGGAUAAUUUGAGUUGACAGCGGAAUUGUUUAAUUGCUUGUCAAAGACAGAAAACGAAGUGAGUGAAGCUCUAAAUAUGAUUCGAACAGUGAAGUCAAGGAAUUUCAAGGGGACAAGGACUGAAAUGUACUUAAUAAAAGUCAUCCUUGUCCAUUGUGCUAAACUUGCGAAGAUGGUCAUUGACCAGAUCGAGGAAGGCAUAAUACAUAAAUAGGCCCUCAAACUUGACCUCAUUUUUUAUGUAUGCGUCCAACUUCGGGUGUGCACAAGUAGGCAUAUCAAAAUCCAAAAAGAUGGAGUGAGCCUUUCUCCUGGUUGUGCAUAAAGUCUUCAGCUGUUAGGCAGUAUUUUGUAGUUUUCAAGUCUUCAGUAAGUACGUUUUUUCAUGAAAUCAUACUGAAACAUUACUGGUAGAGGAUAGAUCAAAUGUCCAUUGCUCUCUCACAAAAGUAGCAUACUUGUAUCAAGUUGAUCAUAAACAGUUUCAAUAGACUAAGGAAUAAUCAGAAAGGAAUUAGCAAAGAUAUACUACAGAAUCCUUCAAUUACCAUGAAAAGCCAUACAUUUAAGUGAUCAAACAUAAAGGUGACAGGCAGGUUUCACAACCUGAAAAUAUAUAAAACUCCUGAAAAUGUCUAAAUAGCAACUCGAGUGCAUCAUUAGUUCAAGGCAUAUAUUAAUAUUUUUUGGAUAUAGCUACUAGAAUCGUUUCUUCAGAAUCAGCAUAACACAU